UGAGGAAUCUUGCGCAAUGGGGGAAACCCUGACGCAGCAACGCCGCGUGAGUGAGGAAGGCCUUCGGGUCGUAAAGCUCUGUCAAGUGGAAAGAAAUGGAUGAAGGUGAACAGCCUUCAUCCUUGACGGUACCACUGGAGGAAGCACCGGCUAACUCCGUGCCAGCAGCCGCGGUAAUACGGAGGGUGCAAGCGUUGUUCGGAAUCAUUGGGCGUAAAGAGCGUGUAGGCGGCUUGGUAAGUCAGAUGUGAAAUCCCUGGGCUCAACCCAGGAAGUGCAUUUGAAACUGCCUUGCUCGAGUACGGGAGAGGGAAGUGGAAUUCCUGGUGUAGAGGUGAAAUUCGUAGAUAUCAGGAGGAACACCGGUGGCGAAGGCGACUUCCUGGCCCGAUACUGACGCUGAGACGCGAGAGCGUGGGGAGCAAACAGG
rnacentral:rRNA from 1 species